AGGAUAUUACUUAAGUAAGGGAUAGCAGAAAGAACACUGGCUUUCUGCCUCCGCUACUGCCAAGGCUCCUGUGAAAAAGCCUGUGGUGAAGCGGGGCAAAAAAAAGAAGCAGGUUCUGAAGUUCACUCUUGAAUGCACUCACCCCGUAGAAGAUGGAAUCAUGGAUGCUGCCAAUUUUGAGCAGUUUUUGCAAGAAAGGAUCAAAGUGAACGGAAAAGCUGAGAACCUUGGUGGAGGGGUGGCGACCAUUGAAAGGAGUAAGAGCAAGAUCAACGUGACAUCCGAGGUGCCUUUCUCCAACAGGUAUUUCAAAUAUCUCACCAAAAAAUAUUUGAAGAAGAAUAAUUUACGUGAUUGGUUGCUCCUAGUUGCUAACAGCAAAGAUAGUUACAAAUUACUUUACUUCCAGAUUAACCAGGACAAAGAAGAGGAGGAAGACGAGGAUUAAACUUCAUUUAUCUGGAAUAUUUUGUAUAAGUUCUUGAAUAAAACUUGGGAACCAAAAGAAAAAAGAAAGAACAUGGGACAAACAUCAGAAAGACCUAAGUCUCUAAAUCUCACAUCUCUAGGCUUAUUCAGCUGUUAAAUGGGGGACUGUACUAGCUAAUUUCUAAUUGACUUACCCAUUCUGAAAAACUAAAGUAAGCCCCAAUUUCUGCUGAAUCCUAUUCAUUUUUGUUCAUUUGCCUCCAACUUCUCUAACAUGGGAACUUAUGACCCUUUGAAACAGGUGAGGAAAACUAAAGAAAGGCCAAGAUGCCCAAGAAAUGUAUCAUUUGCAUGACACUAAAAUUGUAAGCCAAGCUUUUUUAUAGGGGAUGACACGAGGGAUGUCUGGAUGAUUCACUCAGAUUAGUGGUAGGCAAUAAACGCCUGUACCGAAAAUGUUGCAUUUUCUGGCACAAAGUCACUGGUAAGCACACUGCCUAGCAUAUAGCAGACACUCAAAAAUGCUGGUUGAAUGAACAAAGAGCCAACUGACACCUGUUACUCCCUAUAAAAUCUUUAACUUUCUUUACUUAAGCCAAAACUCAAGAAAGAUGUUUGUCACAUUAAGAACUCUACUAAAUAUCCUCUGAACGAACUAAUCCUUCAAAUUCUCAAUUAUCUUAAAUGGAAAAACAUAAACAACCGUUCAGAGAAAUGCUGAACCAGCGGAAAAAAUUUCAAAGCCAAGUUUCAACAUUCCCGUAGAGCUAGAUACACCCACUGACUGCUGCCAGGGUCAAUUUCCCGGCCUCUUCCAGG